rnacentral:tRNA from 1 species
GGCCGACUAGCUCAGUCUAGCUCAGUUGGUUAGAGCGUGGUGCUGCCAAGGUCGUCGGUUCGAUCCCGGCGUUGGCCA